rnacentral:rRNA from 1 species
UGCGGGAUGACGGCCUUCGGGUUGUAAACCGCUUUCAGCAGGGAAGAAGCGAAAGUGACGGUACCUGCAGAAGAAGUACCGGCUAACUACGUGCCAGCAGCCGCGGUAAUACGUAGGGUACGAGCGUUGUCCGGAAUUAUUGGGCGUAAAGAGCUCGUAGGUGGUUGGUCACGUCUGCUGUGGAAACGCAACGCUUAACGUUGCGCGUGCAGUGGGUACGGGCUGACUAGAGUGCAGUAGGGGAGUCUGGAAUUCCUGGUGUAGCGGUGAAAUGCGCAGAUAUCAGGAGGAACACCGGUGGCGAAGGCGGGACUCUGGGCUGUAACUGACACUGAGGAGCGAAAGCAUGGGGAGCGAACAGGAUUAGAUACCCUGGUAGUCCAUGCCGUAAACGUUGGGCACUAGGUGUGGGGGACAUUCCACGUUCUCCGCGCCGUAGCUAACGCAUUAAGUGCCCCGCCUGGGGAGUACGGUCGCAAGGCUAAAACUCAAAGGAAUUGACGGGGGCCCGCACAAGCGGCGGAGCAUGCGGAUUAAUUCGAUGCAACGCGAAGAACCUUACCAAGGCUUGACAUACACUGGACCGUUCUGGAAACAGUUCUUCUCUUUGGAGCUGGUGUACAGGUGGUGCAUGGUUGUCGUCAGCUCGUGUCGUGAGAUGUUGGGUUAAGUCCCGCAACGAGCGCAACCCUCGUUCUAUGUUGCCAGCACGUGAUGGUGGGAACUCAUAGGA